AGCAUAAUGUCGAAGUUUCAAGUAAUUUUCUCGUAACUCGUUUCUCUUCGGCUUUCUACGAUCGUAAAGUUCCCUUCCCUCUCCCUACCUUCGCCCUACCAAAUUUAAAAAGUUAAUAAGAAGUAGCAUGGAAGUUAAACGUUUCCCCUUCGCGCCCACCAUAGGCGACGGACAUUAAUGUUGAAAUUAGUAUCGCUGCUAACGGAGUUCUUCUCGGUCGUCUGGAGUUUGGUGAUGGAAGGACGAAAAGGAUAGAGAGGAUAAGAGGGAGAAUAAUGUGGAGAGAGUUUGGUGAAGCGAGACGAGCUCGCUAUAAAAUCCUUUACGAUCUUGCUUCAUAAAACAUGACUUGCGAAGACGUUUAUGCAAGACUCGUCUGACAUUACCUGUACAUCUUUGAUGUUACUUAUAUAAAAUAAAAAAGGACAAAUUUAAAUGCGAUUCGUGUAAUCGAGAAUCAUUGGAUGCGUCCCUGAGACGAAGAGAAUGGGAUGAGGAAGGGAGUAAGCAGCCUCCGCACUUCGAAGAAGCUCGGUCCAGAACUAAUCGUCAAAAUAUAUAGUAAGCGCUAGUAUGAGGGUAGAAAGGCCGCCCGGGUGAAACACCUGCUCGAUUUGACAAGAUACCCACCGUAGCCUCCUCCUGCACAACAAUAAUAACACAAGAGAUGAAGAAGAAGAAGAAGAGGAAGAAGAAGAAGAAGAAGAAGAAGAAGAAGAAGAAGAAGAAGAAGAUGAAGAAGAAGAAGAAGAACGGAUGCUGGGCUAUACUGGGUAACGCAGAAAGAUUAUUGCAAGACGUAGAACGCUGCGAGCGAUGCUGCCGCUACGAGAGCAAGCUGCAGCUUUAGAGAUGAUCCAGUCUACCGGAAAUACGAUUAUAAGGAAGAAAAAUUUGUGACUUUACGUUACCAUUGAAGCUUCGGGUUUUAUCUUAAUUGGACGAUAUCAGAGCUCUUUUGAUUUUUUUAUACAAACUAAACCAACGUCGAUAUGACAUAAAGGAAGAAGAAGGAGAAGAAGAAGAAAAAAUGAAAGAAAAAAAAAGAAAAGAAAAUAAAAAUAAAAGAAAAUAGCUGGUAAUUUGAUUUAAAGAAAAAUUUAAUUAACUCAAAACGGACGUAGAACGAGAAUGUCGUUAAUGGAAAUCGAUGCAGGUGAAAGUUAAUUGUAAUGUGCACGCGGCCGUGAUUUAUGGCAGUGCUGAUGGAUCUGCCAGCGGACAAACGACUCGAUCUUAAGAGGAAAACGGAAUCUCGGGGGCGACCACUUGAUCUAUAGUUUCGUGCCUGAGUAUACUUUUUGGUACGAACAAAUCUAUUUGGGCUUUCUUUGCGUGCGACCGACGAAAUUCGUGAUCUCUAGACGAAAUACAAUUCGAGUAUUUAUUCGUCUAUUAGAUGUCUCUCAGAGUGAUAUAUACAUAUAUAUAUAUAAAAAAUGUCUCGGAAAUAAUAUUUGCCUUUUGCAAAAAAUUAGAUUAGAUUAGAGAAGAUUUUUUUUUAUUUUUUUUUCUUUAUUUAAUACUUUUUAUCGCUAUCGAAACGAUAAGUUUUAUUUUUCAUUAUUAAAAUAGUUAUGAUAUAAAAUAUGUUAUAACAAAUUUGUAAAAUUAUAAACGCUUUAACAUACUUUGUCCAUUCAUAUAACAUUGUAUCUGUUGUAUAAUAACAUAAGCACGUUCUUGAUGGAUAAUAUUUAUGACCUUGAUCGUCAAUGUUGAAUGACAUAAAUGAUUUACGCGUAUACGCUCAGUUUGUCUACUGUGUCCGUACAGGUGUUUCAUUAUUCAACAAAUAGCGAUAUACACUGAAUUAUUUAAAUCAGUAUACGGGCUGGAAUUAUGAUUAUGGUGACAUCGAUUUACUUCUCGCCAUUAGUCUAUUGUACAUUGUACAUAUACAAUUAAUAUGUUUUUUUAUUUUACAAUUAUUUUUCUCUUUUUCUUCCUUUCUUUCUUUUU